rnacentral:rRNA from 1 species
AGCGAACGCUGGCGGCGUGCCUAAAACAUGCAAGUCGAACGGUCCGCAAGGACAGUGGCGGACGGCUGAGUAACACGUAGGUGACCUGCCCUCGAGUGGGGGAAUACCGCUCCGAAAGGAGCGCUAAUACCGCAUACGACCACUGCAUCUCGGUGUGGUGAGGAAAGCCGCAAGGCGCUCGGGGAUGGGCCUGCGUCCGAUUAGCUAGUUGGUGGGGUAACGGCUCACCAAGGCGACGAUCGGUAGCUGGUCUAAGAGGAUGAUCAGCCAGACUGGGACUGUGACACGGCCCAGACUCCUACGGGAGGCAGCAGUUAGGAAUCUUGGGCAAUGGGCGAAAGCCUGACCCAGCAACGCCGCGUGGGUGACGAAGGCCUUCGGGUCGU